rnacentral:tRNA from 1 species
CCUGAUAGCUCAGAUGGUAAAGAAUCUGCCUGCAAUGCAGGAGACCCAGGUUCAAUCCCUGGGUCAGGA